GGUGCCUUGACAAUGUUUUCAGAGGAGAUAAUGGCGGCAGAAUCCGCGUUUGCUACAGUCACAGAUGGAGUCCGGAUAAUCGAAUGUAGAGCUGGCGGCU
rnacentral:lncRNA from 1 species